rnacentral:rRNA from 1 species
UACGAAGGGAGCUAGCGUUGUUCGGAAUCACUGGGCGUAAAGCGCACGUAGGCGGAUUUGUCAGUCAGGGGUGAAAUCCCGGGGCUCAACCUCGGAACUGCCUUUGAUACAGCAAGUCUUGAUUUCGAGAGAGGUGGGUGGAAUUCCUAGUGUAGAGGUGAAAUUCGUAGAUAUUAGGAAGAACACCGGUGGCGAAGGCGGGUCUCUGGGCCGAUACUGACGCUGAGGAGCGAAAGCGUGGGGAGCGAACAGG